AACGCGAAGAACCUUACCUGGGCUCGAAAUGCUAUGGACCAGCUGGUGAAAGCCGGCCUUCCCGCAAGGGACCGUAGUAUAGGUGCUGCAUGGCUGUCGUCAGCUCGUGUCGUGAGAUGUUGGGUUAAGUCCCGCAACGAGCGCAACCCUUGUCCUGUGUUGCCAUCAUUCAGUUGGGAACUCGCAGGAGACCGCCAGGGAUAACCUGGAGGAAGGUGGGGAUGACGUCAAGUCCUCAUGGCCUUUAUGUCCAGGGCUACACACGUGCUACAAUGGACGGUACAAAGGGCUGCCAACCCGCAAGGGGGAGCCAAUCCCAAAAAACCGUUCUCAGUUCGGAUUGCAGGCUGCAACUCGCCUGCAUGAAGCUGGAAUCGCUAGUAAUGGCGGAUCAGAACGCCGCCGUGAAUACGUUCCCGGGCCUUGUA
rnacentral:rRNA from 1 species